rnacentral:misc_RNA from 1 species
AAGGAUCAUUAUUGAAAAACUAUCUUAGUUUUUUAUAUCCCAUUGCUUACCUACCCUGUUGCUUCUACUGGACUUGUUUUACCUUCUUCAGGUAAGACCUCAGGCUUGUGUAAACUACACUUGUCAGAGAGCUGCCAGUAGUAAGACCACUUACAAAAACUUGUCUUGAAAUAUAUCGUCUGAAUUUUUUGUCUUGAAUGAAAUAAAACUUUCAACAACGGAUCUCUAGGCUCUU